rnacentral:rRNA from 1 species
GUAGGCGAUAGAAAUUUAUGCCUUGGCGCAAUAGAUACAGUACCAUAAGGGAAAGAUGAAAGAACUAAUUUAAGCACUAAAAAGCAAAGAUAAAGGCUUUUACUUCUGCAUAAUGUACUAGCUAGAAAUAACUUGACACAGAGAACCAUAGCCAAGUCCCCCGAAAUCAGAUGAGCUACUCAAGAACAGCUGAAAGAGCGCACCCACCUGUGUGGCAAAAUAGUGGGAAGAUUCAUGAGUAGCGGUGACAAGCCUGCAGAGCCUGGUGAUAGCUGGUUGUCCAAGAUAGAAUCUUAGUUCAACUUUAAACUUACCCACAGAAUUACUUAACCUCCCUGUAAGUCUGUUAGUCUAAAGAGGGACAGCUCUUUAGACCCUAGGGAAUAACUUUUCUGUAGAGAGUAAAAAAUAUUACCCCCAUAGUUGACCCAAAAACAGCCACCAAUUAAGAAAGCGUUCAACCUCAACAUCUAAUUAUCUUAAAUUCUAAUCACUUUACUGAACUCCUAAGAACACCUUGGACUAAUCUGUUAUUUAAUAGAAGCAAUAAUGUUCACAUAAGUAACGUAAACAUAUUCUCCAUUGCAUAAGCUUGUAUCAGACUGGAAUAACCCACUGACAAUUAACAGCCUAAUAUUAAUAAGCGAUAUAAGAAGCGCCCUAUUAUUUAUUCUGUUAAUCCAACACAGGCAUGCUCUAAGGAAAGAUUACAAAAAGUAAAAGGAACUCGGCAAAUCUUACUCGGCCUGUUUACCAAAAAUAUCACCUCUAGCAUUUCCAGUAUUAGAGGUACUGCCUGCCCACUGACAUAUGUUCAACAGCCACGGUAUCCUGACCGUGCAAAGGUAGCAUAAUCACUUGUUCCCUAAAUAGGGACUUUUACGAAUCGCCACACGAGGGUUCAGCUGUCUUUUACUUGUAAUCAGUGAAAUUGACCUAUCCGUGAAGAGGCGGGUAUAAACAAAUAAGAAAAGAAGACCCUAUGGAGCUUCAACUCAUUAAUGCAAAUAGAAAUUCAAAAAGCCUACAGGCCUUAGCAUACUGUCUCUGCAUUAACAUUUUGGUUGGGGUGACCUCGGAGUAUAAUCCAACCUCCAAACAGCCUAGACUAAGACCACACUAGUCUAAGCGAGCUGACACACACUGAUUCAAUAAUUUGAUCGACAGAAGUUACCCUAGGCAUAGUAGCACAAUCCUAUUCUAGAGUCCAUAUAGACAAUAGGGUUUACAACCUCGAUGUUGGAUCAGGCCAUCCUAAUGGGGUAGCCGCUAUUAAGGGUUCAUUUUUUCAACCAUUAAAGUUCUACGUGAUCUGAGUUCAGACCAGAGUAAUCCAGGUCAGUUUCUAUCUAUUUAACAUUUCUCCUAGUA